GAUGAACGCUGGCGGCGUGCCUAAUACAUGCAAGUCGAGCGAACAGAUAAGGAGCUUGCUCCUUUGACGUUAGCGGCGGACGGGUGAGUAACACGUGGGUAACCUACCUAUAAGACUGGGAUAACUUCGGGAAACCGGAGCUAAUACCGGAUAACAUUUGGAACCGCAUGGUUCUAAAGUGAAAGAUGGUUUUGCUAUCACUUAUAGAUGGACCCGCGCCGUAUUAGCUAGUUGGUAAGGUAACGGCUUACCAAGGCAACGAUACGUAGCCGACCUGAGAGGGUGAUCGGCCACACUGGAACUGAGACACGGUCCAGACUCCUACGGGAGGCAGCAGUAGGGAAUCUUCCGCAAUGGGCGAAAGCCUGACGGAGCAACGCCGCGUGAGUGAUGAAGGGGUUCGGCUCGUAAAACUCUGUGAUUAGGGAAGAACAAAUGUGUAAGUAACUGUGCACGUCUUGACGGUACCUAAUCAGAAAGCCACGGCUAACUACGUG
rnacentral:rRNA from 1 species